UUCAGUGUCCCCUAUUUCCUCCUGGAUUUCAGAGUUCCUGUCUCGGCAACUGCAGGCCUACUGUCGGGGCGAAGGGCUGAGGACUGGCCUGAGGACACGGAGAGUAAACGCGAGUGUUAACCCGAACUUGCCUCUGACUGGGCAAAUUUGGUGGGCUACUGGGUCUAUGGAAGAAAGUAACCAGGAUGCCAGGAGGAAUUAUGAGCAAGCAGGCUUUCCAGACCUGACUGUUGGUACUAGCGACAGCUGAAGACAGAAGACUGCAUGGAAGUGGCUCCUCUGGCUUCUCUUAGGCAUGGCGCUGGCUUGGUGUCCAC